UGUGAAUGUGAGUGAGUUCUCAUUCUUAGUUUCUGCAAAAACUGGCUGUUGAAAGGAGUCUGGCACUUCCUCCUUUCUUGCUUCCUCUCUGUCAUGUGAUGCCUUCUCCACUUCACUUUCUCCCAUUGAGGAGAAGCUUUCGGAGGCCCUCACCAGGUGCAAAUGCUGAUACCAUGCUUGAUACUGAUACCAUGCUUCUUGUACAACCUGCAGAACUCUGCCCUGUAGGAAAUUGCCUUCAUGUGAUGAUUGCCUUUAAGUACAGUUUCAAGAAAGCUAUUCCAGACCAGAAAUACCAGAAAGCCUCAUGGACCAGAUUAAAAUGCUUGGAUUACAUGGUUUAUUAAAUCAACUUAAAAACACACAGCAAGAAACAAGUGGAAAGAGUUAAGAAAUGGAUGACAUUAAUCUAAAAUUUAUAAGAAAAUGUAAAAGUUUAGAAAUGGGCAAGGCAAGCCUGAGGAAGAAGAAGAAAAAAAACUAGAGGACUUGCACUAAACAUAAAGAUCUCUUAAAAACUAUAAUUAAUUAUAUUCUUAUGUGAUGCAUUAUAUUUAGUAGUUAAGACAGUGUGGCUCAAAUAUAGAUUAAAAUUACUAAUGGCACAGAAUAGAGAGUUCAGAAACAGAUUCACCUGAUUUAUGAAAAAUGUGAUAUUGCGGUGCAGUGAGAAAUGGAUGGGACCAUUGGAUGUUCACAUGGAAAAAGCAUGUAUCAACUUCUUCCUCACAAAAAUAAAUUUCAGAACAAUUACAUAUCAAUGUGAGAGAUAAACCUAUAGGGCUUUUAGAAUCAUCAAUGUUAUAUAUGUGAAUAAGUUUGGUUUUUUUAAUAGUAGAGUUUAAUAGGUAAAGAGUAGAAUAACCCCAGGCAGAUGUUUUUUGAGAGAUUAAAAGGUGUCAGGGAUGGGAAGCCAGAUACUCCUGGGCGACAAGUUCAUGGAAAUAAUUAAUGUGAUUUUGUUACUGGGAAGAGCAGAGUCCUUGGUUCCUAGACUGACUUGCAAGAAAGAAUUCCACCAAGAGACCACUUAGCCCAAAAAGAGAAUUUAUUGAAGCAAAAUUAGAGCAGAGCGUUCAUUUAGAGAGACAGUACACUCUAAAAGAUGGGGCAUAGUGGGCUACUCACAGAGAAUGAACCAGCAGUAGCCCCAAGAGUUUUGCACUAGGUUUUCAUGACGGAUUUUUUCUUGAAAUUCUCAUCUCUGUCUUAAGUCUCCACCUUUUUCCUUCAUCUAGUUUUUCCUGCUGCUGCCUUAAGUCCCUGCGUUUUCCCUGCCUAGUUCCUGCCUCAGAUUGGUGGGAUCUCUCUUACUAUUAGUUGGCAUGCAUGUGUGGACCUGGUGUUGGACACAAAUUCUACCUAAGGGCUACAUUGCUCAUUACCAUCACCCCAGGAAGGCUGUAUAGCAGUUAAAUCUGUACUUUUUAUGCCUGCAUAUCUCUUAGGAAUUUCACUUCACCCUCUUUCCCUCUUUAUCAGCAUGUAGCUAGCUACAUUCCGACAGGUUAAUUGCAGGGUGGGUGAUUUCUGGGCGAUUCUUCCCACAUAAGUAUUUCCCCAUCUCUUUGCUUAUAUCCAGCACACGUGUUUCGGGUGAUCCCUGGGGUGUGAGAUUUUCCAGACCUCCCUUUUCCUCAGUGACUCCCCUACUACUCUCGCUGCUUACAUCUAGCUAUCUGCCUACUAUGACAAUUUCUUCCUACCACAAUUAAUAUGAAAGAGAAUUCAUUCAUUCUUUCAUUCAUUCACUCACAUAAAAAAUACUACCUGAGUGACAACUAUGUCCCAAGCAUGGUUCUAGGUGCUGAGGAUAUAGUAAUGCACAAGGCAGUUAGUUUCUCUUUUCAUGGCUCAUUUAUGAGGCAGACAUGGAGGCAACAGAAAGCAAUCCAUAAAUAGAUAAAUAAAUAAAUGAUGAAGAAAUAAAAUUCAGUAGUGAAAUUGAGACAAUGAAUCAACACAUUCAGUGAUGAAACAGAGAGUGACCAGUAGUUCUUACAGAUGGAGUGGUCACAGAAGGCCUCUCUGGGGACAUAGGAAGUCACCUGUCACCUGAAUGGCAAGAAUCCCGCUGCUAGCUAUGUACCCACAUGGUGUUAUGAAACGUAUUGGUUUUCAUGCAUGGAUUCUGGCUUACAACUCCCAAAGCCCUUGUUACAGUCUUUUGUUACAAUGUUGGGUAUGUUAGGCCUCAGAAGUGGGCCUCUGACCUUCCUCUGCCCUCCUUUCACUUGAUCCAAAACAAGACUCUAAUCUUAGCUUGCCUUUCUGAUGUGGGUCUUAAGGCCCUCCCAUGAGGGGAGUCCCACCCUGUACCCUGGGGGAAGGAAUGCUGACAUCAUGAAAAUCUAAGGGCACAGGGCUCAGAGAGUUUUUGGAUACCUGCAGGGUGGUGUGCCCAGGGAGGGCAUGGAAGCUCCACACCCCUUCCCCUACACCUCAUCCCACACGUCUCUUUAUUUGUAUUCUUUGCAAUAUCCUUUAUAGUAAACCAGUAAAUAUAAGUCAGUGUUUCCUUGAAUUUUUGGAGCUACUUCAGCAAAUUAAUUGAACUCAAAGAGAGGGUCGUGGGAACCCCAACUUGAAGCUGGUUGGUCGGAAGUUACAGAGGCCCAGACUGGUGUGGUGGGGGAAGGACUCGGGGACUGAGCCCUCAACUUGUAGGAUAUGACACUAUCUCUGGGUAGCGUUGAACUGAAUUAACAGCUGAUGUCUGCUCCCUGGUGUGCGGGGAAAAGAAUCGCACACAUAUGGUCACAGAAGUCUCCUGUGUUGAUGACCAUUGUGGUGUGAGAGUAGAGGAAAAAUAUGAUUAAAGAGUUUUCUCUACACACCCCAGAAGAUAGGAAAUCAGUAUAUCAGAGAGAUAUCUACACUCCACUGUUUUUUGCAGCAGUUUUCACAAUAGCCAAGAUUUGGAAGCAACCUAAGUGUCCAUCAAGAGAUGAACGGAUAAAGAAAAUGCACAUUUACACAAGGGAGCACUAUUCAGUCAUUAAAAAGAAUGAGAUCCUGUCAUCUGUAACCACAUGGAUGAAAUUGGAGGUCAUCAUGUGAAGUGAAAUAAGCCAGACACAAAAAGACAAACUUCGCAUGUUCUCACUUACUUGUGGGACCUAAAAAUUAAAACAAUUGAACUCAUAGGGAUAGAGAGGGUAGAAGGAUAGUUACCAGAGGCUGGGAAGAAUGAGGGGGGAUUGUGGGAGG